GAUGAACGCUGACGGAAUGCUUAACACAUGCAAGUCGAAUGGUGGCGGACGGGUGAGUAACGCGUAAAGAAGUUGCCUCACAGAUAGGGACAACAUAUGGAAACGAAUGCUAAUAGCUGAUACUGUGAGAGAGUUUUGCGUCCCAUUAGCUAGUUGGAGAGGUAACGGCGCACCAAGGCGAUGAUGGGUAGCCGGCCUGAGAGGGUGAUCGGCCACAAGGUGACCGAGACACGGCCCUUACUCCUCCUGGGGGCAGCAGUGUGGACUAUUCGACAAUUGACCAAAGUCUGAUCCAGCUAUUCUGUGUGCACGAUGAAGUUUUCGGAAUGUAGAGUGUUUUCAGUUGGGAAGCAGUACCAACAGAAGAAGUGACGGCUAACUACGUGCCAGCAGCCGCGGUAAUUC
rnacentral:rRNA from 1 species